rnacentral:hammerhead_ribozyme from 1 species
GAGUCCCAAAUAGGACGAAACGCGCGUCCUAGAC